AGAGUUUGAUCCUGGCUCAGGAUGAACGCUAGCGGCAGGCCUAAUACAUGCAAGUCGGACGGGAUUGCGGAGCUUGCUUCGCAUGAGAGUGGCGCACGGGUGCGUAACACGUAUGUAACCUACCUUUAUCAGGGGGAUAGCCUCUCGAAAGAGAGAUUAAGCCCGCAUAAAAUCACAGCACAGCAUUGUGUAAUGAUCAAAUAUUUAUAGGAUAAAGAUGGGCAUGCGGAACAUUAGCUAGUUGGUAAGGUAACGGCUUACCAAGGCUACGAUGUUUAGGGGAUCUGAGAGGAUGACCCCCCACACUGGUACUGAGACACGGACCAGACUCCUACGGGAGGCAGCAGUAAGGAAUAUUGGUCAAUGGGCGGAAGCCUGAACCAGCCAUGCCGCGUGCAGGAAGACGGCCCUACGGGUUGUAAACUGCUUUUAUACGGGAAUAAACCUCACUACGUGUAGUGAGCUGAAUGUACUGUAAGAAUAAGGAUCGGCUAACUCCGUGCCAGCAGCCGCGGUAAUACGGAGGAUCCAAGCGUUAUCCGGAUUUAUUGGGUUUAAAGGGUGCGUAGGCGGCCUAUUAAGUCAGGGGUGAAAGACGGUAGCUUAACUAUCGCAGUGCCCUUGAUACUGAUGGGCUUGAAUACACUAGAGGUAGGCGGAAUGUGACAAGUAGCGGUGAAAUGCAUAGAUAUGUCACAGAACACCAAUUGCGAAGGCAGCUUACUAUGGUGUCAUUGACGCUGAGGCACGAAAGCGUGGGGAUCAAACAGGAUUAGAUACCCUGGUAGUCC
rnacentral:rRNA from 1 species